rnacentral:ribozyme from 17 species
AACGACCACCUCAGCAAGAACGCCAAGGCCUACUUUUCCGAAAAGAGCGGCGGAUCCAAGCGGGCCGCACUCCUGGAACGGGCCACCCCGGAGGAGCAAAAGCAGAUCGCCGACAAGAUCCGGGCCACCUACGCCGGCCGCAACGACG